rnacentral:tRNA from 1 species
CAUUAAGAAGCUAUAUGACAGCAACAGCCUUUUAAGCUGUAGACAGGUGAUUCAAACCACCCUUAAUGG